rnacentral:rRNA from 1 species
AUUGAACGCUGGCGGAAUGCUUUACACAUGCAAGUCGAACGGCAGCACGGGGGCAACCCUGGUGGCGAGUGGCGAACGGGUGAGUAAUACAUCGGAACGUGCCCAGUCGUGGGGGAUAACGUAGCGAAAGUUACGCUAAUACCGCAUACGAUCUACGAAUGAAAGCGGGGGAUCGCAAGACCUCGCGCGAUUGGAGCGGCCGAUGUCAGAUUAGGUAGUUGGUGGGGUAAAGGCCUACCAAGCCGACGAUCUGUAGCUGGUCUGAGAGGACGACCAGCCACACUGGGACUGAGACACGGCCCAGACUCCUACGGGAGGCAGCAGUGGGGAAUUUUGGACAAUGGGCGCAAGCCUGAUCCAGCCAUUCCGCGUGCAGGAUGAAGGCCUUCGGGUUGUAAACUGCUUUUGUACGGAGCGAAAAGGCUCUCUCUAAUACAGGGGGCUCAUGACGGUACCGUAAGAAUAAGCACCGGCUAACUACGUGCCAGCCGCCGCGGUAAGAC